rnacentral:lncRNA from 1 species
AGCUUAUCGACGCACUUUAAUAAUCAAAUUUAAUGCUUCACUUGAAUAAGUUGCAAUUAGACUCGGAACUGAAGUUUUAAGUUUGUGGAAAUUAUAUUGCAAAUAACAUUUCAUUCAAAUGUCAGUUUUGAAAGUAUUUUGAUUAAUCUAUGCACAGGGAUAUUGUGGAGCCAGGGACGCGAUACUGAUACAAACUUCGUUUAUGAUACGUACGAUGUAGUUAUCAAAUUGAGUCAAAUUGACUUUAUCUGUGGAAAUUAGUUUCAAUUGACCCGAGUUUACCUUUAACAGGUAAAUAUCACAUCUCUAUCUUGUUUAGGAUACGAUUUAUAUAAAAUGGUGUAACGUAUUCAGUGUCUUGAGAUUGACGUCUGCAGAUACACUGUGUAAACUUUAAGACUGACCGAACAAGUGAACUGAAAUACACUUUGUAAACUCUAAGAGCUGGGCAAGUGAACUGUCCAGACAUGGAAGGCCGGAGUAAAGGUUAAUACAAUGCUCUACAUCAAGAAUGUAUUCGUUUGUGUUUUUCUGGUA